UACGUGAGGGUGCGAGCGUUUAAUCGGAAUUCUAGGGCGUGAAAGGUGCGCAGGCUGGCUCCGCAUGUCGGGACGUGAAAGUCCCCGGGCUUAACCUGGGAACUUGCGUCCGAAACUGAUGGAGCGUAGGAGUGAGUGGGCGAGGAGGGAGGUGGGAAAUUCCAUCGUGUAGCGGUGAAAUGACGUACGAGAUGUGGAGGAAC
rnacentral:rRNA from 1 species